rnacentral:rRNA from 1 species
GUGGGGAAUAUUGGACAAUGGGCGAAAGCCUGAUCCAGCCAUGCCGCGUGUGUGAAGAAGGCCUUUUGGUUGUAAAGCACUUUAAGCGAGGAGGAGGCUACUUGGAUUAAUACUCUAGGAUAGUGGACGUUACUCGCAGAAUAAGCACCGGCUAACUCUGUGCCAGCAGCCGCGGUAAUACAGAGGGUGCAAGCGUUAAUCGGAUUUACUGGGCGUAAAGCGCGCGUAGGUGGCCAAUUAAGUCAAAUGUGAAAUCCCCGAGCUUAACUUGGGAAUUGCAUUCGAUACUGGUUGGCUAGAGUAUGGGAGAGGAUGGUAGAAUUCCAGGUGUAGCGGUGAAAUGCGUAGAGAUCUGGAGGAAUACCGAUGGCGAAGGCAGCCAUCUGGCCUAAUACUGACACUGAGGUGCGAAAGCAUGGGGAGCAAACAGGAUUAGAAACCCCAGUAGUCC